GCUCUCGUCGUCUAAUGGCUAUGAUAUCAGAUUCCUACCAUUAUUGGGACGAUCUGAAGGUUCCGGGUUCGAGUCCCGGCGGGAGUA